CCACACCGAAAAAAAAAUACAUGGUUGCCAAGAAAGCGGUUUGUUUUGCUAGGUUUGUUUUUCUUAUGUGUACGCAGCAUUUGUGUUUUAGAGUCACGUUUAAUUCUUAAUUGAUCUACCAUUUCUAUCUUCGGCCACUGUAAACGAUGGGGGCUUAGGGCAUUACCAUUCUGCUCAUCUGAUGAAGGUACACAUGGAUCAGAUUCAAACUUUGAAGACUGAGAUCGAGUCAUUGAAGGCAGACCAGCAGAAAGAGAAACAUUAUCUGAAGGCAGAGAUACGGGUGACAGCUGAUGCAUUGGUCCAGAGCCAGGCUAUAUUGGCAGUCACUUGUCAUUGGCAGAGAGUCAGGCAGCAUUGGCAGAGAGUCAGGCGGAGAAUGACGCGUUGAAGAGGGCAAGGAACGAGAUGUAGUCACAAUCCAUGCCAGGCUCACCUGUGAGCUCUGGAACUCCACCUCCGACAGACAGAGUCAACAUACGUGGCGGGUUCGUCAGGUCGUCGGUUCACCCUGACAUUUCCAUUCCUCUUCUGACAACAGAACUUGACCAAUUGCUCACCAGGCCCAUCAAGGGCCAUCCGGAACAUAAUUCUGUUCUGCUAAUCCAAGGAUGUGUAACCGAAGAGAGAUACCACGAGUGGACACAGAAUAACAGCUGGGAUGGAUCCCAAGGCAAAUAUGGCUUACCAGUAAACCUCCGGAUGUUAAUCAUUAAUACUGUGUCUCAGAAGUUUCUGUCCAUGACUGAUGCAAGCUGAAAAAGCAUUAAAGACAGAGUGAAUGUGUACUUGAAGUCACCGAGAAAGUCUGGACAUGGCCUGCUCUCCAUUAUGUAAGGCAUUAGGUACUUUACCAUGUUUACUACAGUAUGUACCAGAGGUGGGACCAAGUUAUUGUUUUACAAGUCACAAAACCUGAGCCCUAGGACCAUACGUCAGGACUACCGGGCAUGCUGACACCUUGCUGUCCCCAGUCCGCCCGGCCUUGCUGCUAUUCCAGUUUCAACUGUUUCUGCCUGCGGUUACGAAACCCCUACCUGUCCCAGACCUGCUGUUUUCAACUCUUAAUGAUCGGCUAUGAAAAGCCAACUGAGAUUUAUUCCUGAUUAUUAUUUGACCAUGCUUGUCAUUUAUGAACAUUUUGAAAAUCUUGGCUCGCUCUAAUUUUCUCCUUCUCUCUUUCUCUCGGAGGACCUGAGCCCUAGGACCAUACGUCGGGACUACCGGCCGUGGUGACUCCUUGCUGCCCCCAGUCCGCCUGGCCUUGCUGCUAUUCCAGUUUCAACUCUUCUGCCUGCGGUUAUGGAACCCCUACCUGUCCCAGACCUGCUGUUUUCAACUCUUAAUGAUCGGCUAUUAAAAGCCAACUGAGAUUUAUUCCUGAUUAUUAUUUGACCAUGCUUGUCAUUUAUGAACAUUUUGAAAAUCUUGGCUCUCUCUAAUUUUCUCCUUCUCUCUUUCUUUCUCUCGGAGGACCUGGGCCCUAGGACCAUGCGCCGGGACUGCCGCCCGUGGUGACUCCUUGCUGUCCCCAGUCCGCCUGGCCUUGCUGCUAUUCCAGUUUCAGCUGUUCUGCCUGCGGUUAUGGAACCGCCACCUGUCCCAGACCUGUUGUUUUUCAACUCUUAAUGAUCAGCUAUGAAAAGCCAACUGAAAAUUAUUCAUGAUUAUUAUUUGACCAUGCUUGUCACUUAUGAACAUUUUUGAACAUCUUGGCAUAGUUCUGUUAUAAUCUCCACCCGGCACAGCCAGAAGAGGACUGGCCACCCCUCAUAGCCUGGUUCCUCUCUAGGUUUCUUCCUAGGUUUUGGCCUUUCUAGGGAGUUUUUCCUAGCCACCGUGCUUCUACACCUGCAUUCUAGCUGUUUGGGGUUUUAGGCUGGGUUUCUGUACAGCACUUCGAGAUAUUAUCUGAUGUACGAAGGGCUAUAUAAAAUAAAUAAAAUUGAAAUUGAAAUAAAUCAUUCUCUCUACUAUUAUUCUGACAUUUCACAUUCUUAAAAUAUAGUGGGGAUCCUAACUGACCCAAGACGGGGUAUAUUUACUACAAUGAAAUGUUAGGAUUUGUGAAAAACUGAGUUUAAAUGUAUUUGGCUCAGGUGUAUGUAAACUUCCGACUUCAACUGUAUAUCACUAUGUUGCCAAAAAAGUGAUGUUAUAAAAAAUACUUGUUUCCCUUCAAUAAAAUGCAUUCAAAACUA